rnacentral:misc_RNA from 1 species
AUUUUACAAAGCCUUCAUGACAUGUCAACAAGUGCAUUACGUUGUCUGGGUUUUGCUUACAAAGGGGACCUGGCAGCAUUUGAAACAUAUAAUGGUGAUGAGGACCAUCCAGCCCAUGAGCUUUUACUUAACCCGUCUAAUUAUUCUUCUAUUGAGAGUGAACUCAUUUUUGUUGGUUUAGUUGGGCUAAGGGAUCCCCCUCGGAAAGAGGUACGUCAAGCAAUUGAGGACUGCAAAGCAGCUGGAAUCCGUGUUAUGGUCAUUACAGGUGACAACAAAAAUACAGC